CCAGACUCCUACGGGAGGCAGCAGUGAGGAAUAUUGGUCAAUGGCCGGAAGGCUGAACCAGCCAAGUCGCGUGAGGGACGACUGCCCUAUGGGUUGUAAACCUCUUUUAUAAGGGAAGAAUAAAUGCUACGUGUAGCAUGAUGCCUGUACCUUAUGAAUAAGCACCGGCUAAAUACGUGCCAGCAGCCGCGGUAAUACGUAUGGUGCGAGCGUUGUCCGGAUUUACUGGGCGUGAAGGGGGCGCAGGCGGCGCGCCAAGCCCGAUGUGAAAGCCCGGGGCUCAACCCCGGGACUGCAUUGGGAACUGGCGUGCUGGAGUGCCGGAGGGGCAGGCGGAAUUCCUGGUGUAGCGGUGAAAUGCGUAGAUAUCAGGAGGAACACCGGUGGCGAAGGCGGCCUGCUGGACGGCAACUGACGGUGAGGCGCGAAAGCGUGGGGAGCAAACAGGAUUAGAUACCCCCGUA
rnacentral:rRNA from 1 species